GCUCAUCGUCAUGCUCAGUGCGAAUGUGACCUAGCUUCCCCAUGCUGCGGAAGAUGGCCGAGUCUCUGCCCCAGUAGUCACUGUAGAGUCCAGCAAACAGUUCAUUACCUGCAGAGGCGACCCAGGGGUAAACAAGUGAGUGUCUGCCCCGCAAUCCGAGGGUGAGGUAGAAGCCACUGUUAGGUUACCAGUUCAACACACGUUCAACGCGAGCUUAUCAACAAUCAGAGCAGCUCUGGUUAUCUGGUUAUCAGAGAAAUGUCUUUCUGCCAUGAACAGAGGUUCUUACAGAAAUUUAUAACUGAUCAAAGGACAGACUUCGUGACUCUGAAGUACCAAUCCCCACAUGCGACAUCUACAAAGGAUCAGGGAACACUGCAGAAAAGAAAGAUCAUCAGAGUUAGAGAACCCUGAGAACACCUGUAAAAUAAAAUCUUCUGCAUAUGA